rnacentral:rRNA from 1 species
AGAGUUUGAUCCUGGCUCAGAUUGAACGCUGGCGGCAGGCCUAACACAUGCAAGUCGAGCGGAAACGGCGGUAUUGAAGCUUCGGUGGAUUUACCGGACGUCGAGCGGCGGACGGGUGAGUAACGGCUGGGAACCUGCCCUGACGAGGGGGAUAACCGUUGGAAACGACGGCUAAUACCGCAUAAUGUCUUGAUUCGUUAGAGUCAGGACCAAAGGUGGCCUCUACAUGUAAGCUAUCGCGUUGGGAUGGGCCCAGUUAGGAUUAGCUAGUUGGUAAGGUAAUGGCUUACCAAGGCAACGAUCCUUAGCUGGUUUGAGAGGAUGAUCAGCCACACUGGGACUGAGACACGGCCCAGACUCCUACGGGAGGCAGCAGUGGGGAAUAUUGCACAAUGGGAGAGACCCUGAUGCAGCCAUGCCGCGUGUGUGAAGAAGGCCUUCGGGUUGUAAAGCACUUUCAGCAGUGAGGAAGGUCGUGUACUUAAUACGUGCACGGCUUGACGUUAGCUGCAGAAGAAGCACCGGCUAACUCCGUGCCAGCAGCCGCGGUAAUACGGAGGGUGCGAGCGUUAAUCGGAAUUACUGGGCGUAAAGCGCAUGCAGGCGGUUUGUUAAGUCAGAUGUGAAAGCCCGGGGCUCAACCUCGGAACCGCAUUUGAAACUGGCAGGCUAGAGUCUUGUAGAGGGGGGUAGAAUUUCAGUGUAGCGGUGAAAUGCGUAGAGAUC